rnacentral:piRNA from 1 species
UAGUAGUAGUGUGAAGACCAUUGAUGUCUC